GAUGAACGCUGGCGGCGUGCCUAAUACAUGCAAGUCGAGCGAACAGACGAGGAGCUUGCUCCUCUGACGUUAGCGGCGGACGGGUGAGUAACACGUGUAUAACCUACCUAUAAGACUGUGAUAACUUCGGGAAACCGGAGCGAAUACCGGAUAAUAUAUUGAACCGCAUGGUUCAAUAGUGAAAGACGGUGUUGCUGUCACUGAUAGAUGGAUCCGCGCCUCAUUAGCUAGUUGGUAAGGUAACGGCUUACCAAGGCAACGAUGCGUAGCCGACCUGAGAGGGUGAUCGGCCACACUGGAACUGAGACACGGUCCAGACUCCUACGGGAGGCAGCAGUAGGGAAUCUUCCGCAAUGGGCGAAAGCCUGACGGAGCAACGCCGCGUGAGUGAUGAAGGUCUUCGGAUCGUAAACCUCUGUUAUUAGGGAAGAAAAAAUGUGUAAGUAACUAUGCACGUAUUGACGGUACCGAAUCAGAAAGCCACGGCUAACUACGUG
rnacentral:rRNA from 1 species